rnacentral:lncRNA from 1 species
CUGAAUUCGAUAUCUCUACUACGAUUUUUUUUUUUUUUUUUUGUAUUUCUUAUUGACUGUCGGUCCCCAUACAGUACACCUAGAGACCGUUCAGAAGUCCAAAUGAACGAACUAGGAUGAUUGCUUACAUCCACUUCACUUGAACUUUGGCGGAAAGUUUUCUCAUUGGCAAUCUACCUUAUUUUCAUAAAUAGUAACAAUCUAUCACUGGGCAAUUUUGUAACGAUCGUUUUGCACAAAAUACAAAAAAGUGAAUUGUACAUGCUAUUGGCGAGAAUAGGAACUUGUGGUUGAUUUUUGUAUUUAACCGAUAUUAAAAUGUUUUAUUAAUUUUUUUUUAAAAUAACUUUUAUACAGUUUUGUGAUGCAAAUAUAAAAGUCAUUCUGUUACAUAUUUUUUUUGUUGGGUGGG